rnacentral:ncRNA from 1 species
UAAUUGAAGAGUUUGAUCCUGGCUCAGAGCGAACGCUGGCGGCGUGCUUAACACAUGCAAGUCGAACGGAUCCGGGGGGCAACCCUCGGGUUAGUGGCGAACGGGUGAGUAACACGUGGGUAAUCUCCCCCCGAGUGAGGGAUAAGCUUGCGAAAGCGGGUCUAAUACCGCAUGACGCUUCGGGACGUAAGUCUUCGAAGUUAAAGCCGUAAGGCGCUUGGGGAUGAGCCUGCGUCCUAUUAGCUAGUUGGUAGGGUAAUGGCCUACCAAGGCGAUGAUGGG